AAAGCGUAACGGAGGAGCACGAAGGUUAGCUAAUCCUGGUCGGACAUCAGGAGGUUAGUGCAAUGGCAUAAGCUAGCUUGACUGCGAGCGUGACGGCGCGAGCAGGUGCGAAAGCAGGUCAUAGUGAUCCGGUGGUUCUGAAUGGAAGGGCCAUCGCUCAACGGAUAAAAGGUACUCCGGGGAUAACAGGCUGAUACCGCCCAAGAGUUCAUAUCGACGGCGGUGUUUGGCACCUCGAUGUCGGCUCAUCACAUCCUGGGGCUGAAGUAGGUCCCAAGGGUAUGGCUGUUCGCCAUUUAAAGUGGUACGCGAGCUGGGUUUAGAACGUCGUGAGACAGUUCGGUCCCUAUCUGCCGUGGGCGCUGGAGAAUUGAGGGGGGCUGCUCCUAGUACGAGAGGACCGGAGUGGACGCAUCACUGGUGUUCGGGUUGUCAUGCCAAUGGCACUGCCCGGUAGCUAAAUGCGGAAGAGAUAAGUGCUGAAAGCAUCUAAGCACGAAACUUGCCCCGAGAUGAGUUCUCCCUGAGACUUUAAGUCUCCUGAAGGAACGUUGAAGACGACGACGUUGAUAGGCCGGGUGUGUAAGCGCAGCGAUGCGUUGAGCUAACCGGUACUAAUGAACCGUGAGGCUUAACCUU
rnacentral:rRNA from 1 species